rnacentral:lncRNA from 1 species
CUCGCGGUUGCUUUGGGGUUGACGUUGCUUGCCUCGCGCCUAGCGCCAUAGCUUCUACGCUGCAGUGCAUCACGCCUCCUGUCCCUUCCUCCCUCCCUCCCUUACAUGUCGUGCUGGGCACCGGUGGCGCUGGUGUUCUCCAGGUUGGUUUCGGGCGCAUCCUUUCUGGUAGUCCCAACGCCAGCCCGGCCGGCGUCGUCCAGCCCAGCCAUCCCAAUACAGCAGCCACCUUCCGUCAGCCAGCCAUGGGCGCGACCGUCCACAGCGUUUACCGUCGGUUACGAGGUAACAUGUGAAUUCGCAACUUGCGCUACUGACUGCCUGCUCUCGUGCCGCCUGCAAGCCCACUCCGCCUUCCGCUCUGGUCUACGUACGCAUUAGUUCCGCAACACUCGUCAAUAACAGGACAGUACAGGGAUAAUCGCCCCUGGGCCCCGGCAAGUUCACGCUGGUAUCUGUUGCCCAGUGGCAGGGACCUACUUGAGGUCCCGUCUUCAAGUGUUUGGCAAGGGCGAGCCUCCCGCUUGCGGGUGCAGCCACCAUUCACGCGGUAGCGCAUGCGCCCGCAUCGCCACUUCCUCGGCAACUUCUUCUACUGGUUCACUACAUGGCUGCGCGCUAUUUUUAACGUCCACUUAUCCGUUCUCGAUCAGACAGCAAUUGCAGCCUGCAUCCUACUGCCUUAGACGACAACACACACUCGUUUCGUCCGCGCUCGCCGUUCCGCCUUCCAUGUAGUGCUCUGGGUGUCAGUCAGCCUGAUCCUUUUACCUACUUGUGUCUAUCCGGGCAUCAGCAUGGCUAACAGCAAACGGCGCCGCGUGGGGGUCACCGAGGCAUCCGGCAUCGCGGAGCAGGUCAUCGCGCUCCAUCGCCGCCCGCGCACGCUUCGCCCCCGGCGGACAUGCCGCCCUCUGCGACAACCCGCGGGGUCAUCUACGCCGCCCCCGCGGCCGCAUCGGCUACGUUAUUGGUGAUUACUUGGUUUACUCCUGGGUUCUGUCUACUUGGUUUUUGGUUCAUGUGCCGCCGCCCCCGCGGCCGCCUUGGCGACGACGUGCCGCCGCCCCCGCGGCCGCAUCGGCUACAUUCCGCCGCCCCCGCGGCCGCCCUGGCGCUGCGCCGCCGCCCCCGCGGCCGCCCUGGUUCUGCGCCGCCGCCCCCGCGGCAGCCCUGGCUACGUGCCGCCGCCCCCACGGCCGCCCUGGCUACGUGCCGCCGCCCCCGCGGCCGCCUUGGUCACGUGCCGCCGCCCCCAUGGCGGCGCGUCGCCAUCGCGUCAUCCCAAAAGGAGUAUUCGUUGCGGGCGUGCGCGGCGGCGGCCUCCCAACCCAUACACAGCCCUCGGAGAUGACGCCACCGNNNNNNNNNNNNNNNNNNNNNNNNNNNNNNNNNNNNNNNNNNNNNNNNNNNNNNNNNNNNNNNNNNNNNNNNNNNNNNNNNNNNNNNNNNNNNNNNNNNNCACGGCAUGCACCGCACGCGCCCAUGCCGACCGCAGUGCGACCGGGAUGAGCCAUGCAGCGAUCGCGCUGUCGUUACUUCCUCGGCCGCCCGGCGCCCUUGCUCAUUUAUUUAACCGCAUCCAUCACGUCCCCGUACUUAGUGUUCUUCGUUUAGUCACCCCGCGCAGCGCACAGCCAUAACAGCCACAGCCUGCAGCCCGGCUUGCGCACCAUGUCCUCGCGGUUGCUUUGGGGUUGACGUUGCUUGCCUCGCGCCUAGCGCCAUAGCUUCUACGCUGCAGUGCAUCACGCCUCCUGUCCCUUCCUCCCUCCCUCCCUUACAUGUCGUGCUGGGCACCGGUGGCGCUGGUGUUCUCCAGGUUGGUUUCGGGCGCAUCCUUUCUGGUAGUCCCAACGCCAGCCCGGCCGGCGUCGUCCAGCCCAGCCAUCCCAAUACAGCAGCCACCUUCCGUCAGCCAGCCAUGGGCGCGACCGUCCACAGCGUUUACCGUCGGUUACGAGGUAACAUGUGAAUUCGCAACUUGCGCUACUGACUGCCUGCUCUCGUGCCGCCUGCAAGCCCACUCCGCCUUCCGCUCUGGUCUACGUACGCAUUAGUUCCGCAACACUCGUCAAUAACCAAGACAACCGGUUGCAGGCCAUACAGCACUUGAGGGCAUCGGUAGCCCAGCGCUAGCCUACUUGCGUCCCUGUCUGCCCAUCAGCGGUGCCGUGUCUCUGCCUCCCCAUCCGCG